rnacentral:tRNA from 1 species
AGGUAGCUCGUCGGGCUCAUAACCCGAAGGUCACUGGUUCGAGUCCAGUUCCCGCUA